UACGGAGGGUGCAAGCGUUAUCCGGAUUUACUGGGUUUAAAGGGUGCGUAGGCGGUUAUGUAAGUCAGUGGUGAAAUCUCCGGGCUUAACCCGGAAACUGCCGUUGAUACUAUAUAUCUUGAAUGCUGUGGAGGUAAGCAGAAUAUGUCAUGUAGCGGUGAAAUGCUUAGAGAUGACAUAGAAUACCUAUUGCGAAGGCAGCUUACUACGCAGAUAUUGACGCUCAUGCACGAAAGCGUGGGGAUCAAACAGG
rnacentral:rRNA from 1 species